rnacentral:rRNA from 1 species
GACGAACGCUGGCGGCGUGCUUAACACAUGCAAGUCGAGCGGAAAGGCCACUUCGGUGGUACUCGAGCGGCGAACGGGUGAGUAACACGUGAGUAAUCUGCCCCUGGCUUUGGGAUAGCCACCGGAAACGGUGAUUAAUACCGGAUACGACCACUUCUCGCAUGGGAUGGUGGUGGAAAGUUUUUUCGGCCAGGGAUGUGCUGGCGGCCUAUCAGCUUGAUGGGGGGGUAAUGGCUCACCAUGGCUUCGACGGGUAGCCGGCCUGAGAGGGUGAGCGGUCACACUGGGACGGGGACACGGCCCAGACUCCUACGGGAGGGAGCAGUGGGGAAUAUUGGACAAUGGGCGGAAGCCUGAUCCAGCAACGCCGCGUGAGGGAUGACGGCCUUCGGGUUGUAAACCUCUUUCAGCAGGGACGAAGCGCAAGUGACGGUACCUGCAGAAGAAGCACCGGCCAACUACGUGCCAGCAGCCGCCGUAA